ensembl:lncRNA
CUGGCAGGCUUACAGUUCAUGGGGUCACAAAGAGCUGGACACGACUGAGCGACUAACAAACACUAACAUAUAACGUGUCCACCAGCCUCCAGGGCCAAAGAAAGAAGGAACCGCUUUCUGCCCAUCCUGAGCCACUCGGCCGCACUGUUGACUGUACACAUGAUGAACCCAGAUGUCCUGAGUCCUCCUGCCUCGGUCUGACCUCCAAACCUUUACACGCGCCAGGCCCUCCUCCGCCCUAACCCUUUCCCACGCGCCGCCGUCACACUGUCAGAAACAGGGCCCCACCCACGGCCGCCCCGCCGCCCCAGAGGCUGGGCCUGCGCUGCAGGCGCGUGAGCGGCGCCGGGCCCCGCGGGCUCUGGAGUCUGGCGGAGCGUUUACCUGCGGCGGUCCCACUGCGUGGCCAGCCACUGCGCGCUGGGCACGGGGGUCCGUAUUCUGGCCUGGUCCGGUUGCCUCCAGUGGUGUCGCCAGCCUCGGUCCUGUCUUUGUGGCGCGGAAAGGAGAGAGGCCCCUCCACUGGAGCUUUCUCAGACUCAUCGCCCCGGCCUGAACCGGCACCUCGUGAGAACAGACCCAGCGAGGGUAAAAUGGCCGCCCUUUACGCGGGAGGCUAGAAGUCCCUGGUGGACAGUGGUGUGGAACUGAACCCACAGUAUCUCCAAGGAAUGUCUGAUGCUGAAAACUCGGCCUUUGUGCACCAGUGCCAAACUGAAUCUCGGAGACAGAGUUUGGGGUGAAGGUGCAGUAGUGAAGAAUCUGCCUGCCAAUGCAGGAGAUGCCAGAGACACAGCUUAUGCUGCUGCUGCUAAGUCACUUCAGUUGAGUCCGACUCCAUGCGACCUCAUAGAUGGCCUCCUACCAGGUUCCUCUGUCCCUGGGAAUCUCCAGGCAAGAACAAUGGAGUGUGUUGCCAUUUCCUUCUCCAAUGCAUGAAAGUGAAAAGUGAAAGUGAAGUCUCUCAGUCGUGUCUGACUCUUAGCGACCUCAUGGACUGCAGCCUACCAGGCUCCUCCGUCCAUGGGAUUUUCCAGGCAAGAGUACUGGAGUGGGGUGCCAUUGCCUUCUCUGCUAAAAGCUUAUGGUAUGAUUAAAAAAAAAUUCUAUGUGCUGUUUCAGUUCAGAAGAAGGAUAACGAAGAACUGUUGUUAUUAACUUAAUUUCAUAACUGGAUGUAUCUUGUAGUAUAAAACUCUAACCCUUCCAUCUAUAUCAAACUCUUUGGGAUUAGAAGAAUUUGAGAUUAGUAAAGUUGAGAGUGUAGUUCAGUUCAGUCACUCAGUCAUGUCCAACUCUUUGUGACCCCAUUUACUUCAGUAUGCCAGUCCUCCCUGUCUAUCACCAAUUCCCAGAGCUUACUCAAACUCAUGUCCAUCAAGUAGGUGAUGCCAUCCAACCAUCUCAUUCUAUGUUGUCCCCUUCUCCCCCUGCCUUCAAUUUUUGCCAGCAUCAGGGUCUUUUCCAAGGAGUCAGUUCUCUACAUCAGGUGGCCAAAAUAUUGAAGUUUCACCUUUUAGCAUCAGUCCUUCCAAUGAAUAUUCAAGAUGGAUUUCCUUUAGGAUGGACUGGUUGGAUCUCCUCAUUGUCCAAGGAACUCUCAAGAGUCUUCUCCAACACCACAGUUCAAAAGAAUCAAUUCUUCAGUGCUCAGCUUGCUUCACAGUCCAGCUCUAACAUCCAUAGUGUAGUUCAGUUCAGUUCAGUCACUCAGUCAUCUCCGACUCUUUGCGACCCCAUGAAUCAGCAUGCCAGGCCUCCCUGUCCAUCACCAACUCCCGGAGUUCACUCAGACUCUCGUCCAUUGAGUCAGUGAUGCCAUCCAGCCAUCUCAUCCUCUGUCAUCCCCUUCUUCUCCUGCCCCCAAUCCCUCCCAGCAUCAGAGUCUUUUCCAAUGAGUCCACUCUUCGCAUGAGGUGGCCAAAGUACUGGAGUUUCAGCUUUAGCAUCAUUCCUUCCAAAGAAAUCCCAGGGCUGAUCUUCUUCAGAAUGGACUGGUUGGAUCUCCUUGCAGUCCAGGGACUCUCAAGAGUCUUCUCCAGCACCACAGUUCAAAAGCAUCAAUUCUUUGGCACUCAACCUUCUUCACAGUCCAACUCUCACAUCCAUACAUGACUACUGGAAAAAUCCAUAGUGUAGAGAUGAUUAUUAUUAAUAAAAUUCCUGAGCAGAAUUAAGGAGGAAGGGGACCAUUUUCUUCUUUAGUAGCUAUCCUAGAAAAUUGUAGGAAAUAGGCAUUUGUUGUCAAAACACCUCAUGGGCCUUCAACCAUUUACAUUCCAACUGUGUUUACUUUUGCAGAUCUGGAGUCGAUUUAUUAUGUGUCAAGGAUUUCAGCUUACUUCUCCGUCUUCUUAAAAGAUGCUGUAAUUGACUCAAAUAUGGUGAUGAAAGUAGUAAGUAAAGCACUUUCCUGACUUCUGUGAGUCAUUCUAGCAAAUUAUUGAACAAAAGAGGGGGUGGUGGGAAGCCCUGAUUUAUAGAAGAUUUGACAUUCAGGCCACCACUUGGGACUUGUGAUUGGCAUCUGAAGUGGGAGCAGUUGUGUGGAUGGAGCCCCUUAACCUGUGGGGGUCUGUGCUAACUCCAGAUAGUGCCAGAAGUAAAUUAAACUCUAGGACAUCUAUUUGGUGUCCCAAAAGAACUGGAGAAUUGCUUCGUGUGGAAAAGCCACUCAUUUGUAGUCAGAAGCUGUCUUGUCUGUUCAGGCUGCUAUAACAAAAUACCACAGACUGGCUAACUUAUAAAUAACAGAAAUUUAUUUCUCGGAGUUUGAGGUCUGGAAGUCCUGAGGCCCUGACACUGACAGAUUUGGUGGUUGAUGUAGGCUCUCUUCCAGGCUGCAGACUGCUGUGUCCUCCUCACAUGGUGAGGAGAGACCUAGGGAUCUAACUCCUUAUAUGAGGAGAGCUGAAGUUCUCUUUGCUUGAUGGUCCUCAACAUCAGUGACUCAUGUUUCUGCAUAUGGGUUUUCUAAACCACAUAAAAUUCUGCAUGAGUCCCAGCAUCUGUGGAUAGGAGCAGGGGUUCUUACUGUGCCCAUCCUAUGCUUUUCCUUCAAAAAUAUUACAAACACUCCUAUAAAAAAAAUACUGAUUCCUCGCUGGGCAUGAUACUUGCUGACAUAGAAAUUCAGCAUUUGCAUUAUGUGUAAGGAAUUUGGUGGGCAAGUUUUAUAUACUAUUGAAUAUCAAGGAAGUUCUGGAAUUUUACAUGAAGCAGGAUCUUAUGAUUUUUGCCCUAUGUUUUCACUUCAGGACCAUGUCUCUCUCCAAUAAUUUAAGACAUUAGAUGUAGAUAGAAGCUUAACCUAAAGCUUUUAAUGAAAGUCACACUUUGUCACAUUCUUAUAUUUUCUACCUUACAUUAAAAAGGCAUGUAAAUUAGCUCUGAAAGAAGGGUGCAUGGAAAUGCCUUUGCUGUCUUUGACCUAAAGCCUCUGAAAUGAUUGAUGCUUCAAUACAGUGAGAAUUCAUAGCCUUGAUUUUAUUUGUCACAAUUGAAGUCACAGUUGUGACAAUUGAAGUCACAUGAUCAUUUCAGAAUUAUUCAUAUUUCUAGUAUACAGAUUAUAUGAUAUUUAUAGUUCUAAUUUAAUAGCAAACACACAGUUUCCACACUGCAAAUGGCUAUUAAAAUCACGAGAAUCAUAGAAAUUAGGUUUAUUUGGGCUUCAGCAGCUGCCUGAAUUCCACAAGAUAAAUGCCAGAUUAUUUUUUUAUUGCCAGACCCCAUACUUAGGGGAACCAUGAAAAUCUUGGAAUUUCCUAAAUAGCUGUCAGAAAGAUACAGUUCAAUUUAGACUCUAAAAAAUGCAUUAUUAUGCAGUUUCCUCUUUCCCAUCCCCAAACACUGCCCUGCCUUCCUUUCCCUCCAACCCCUAGUAUUCCUGCCGUGAUGCUCAGAUUUUAUUGGUUUCAUAUUUGACAUAACAUUCUGAAAAUAAUAUGACUAACUUCAUCAUUAAAAGUCAUAGCUGAAUUUUAUCAUCUUAAUAGUGUUUUAUUACCUGGGCUAGAUUCUUUUGGGGGCUACACUGAUGGCUCAGCUGGUAAAGAAUCCGUCUCCAAUACGAGAGACCUGGGUUCAAGUCCUGGGUUGGGAAGAGCCCCUGGAAAAGGGAAAGGCUACCCACUCCAGUAUUCUGGCCUGAAGAAUUCCAUGGACUAUAUAGUCCAUGAGGUCUCAAAGAGUCGGACAUGGCUGAGAGAUUCUUAAGGAGGAAUUUCAAGCUGCAUCUGUGAGUAAAUAUUUAUGAAUCACUUGUUAUGAGUUCAAAACUGUCCUUAGAUCGGUAGGCAUACAAUAAACUCUCAAUCAUUGUUUCUGCCUUCAGAGGGCUGAUAAGUGGUUCAUGUAGAUGAACAACUUAGAAGAAAGAUUUAGAAACAACUCCUAGAAGAUUACUGUGGAUAGAUGAGCUUUGAGUGAUAGUGCUUCUUACUGCUUUAGUACAUUGACAAGAGGCCUAUAGACCAAGGAAUUAGAGAUACACUGAUGGCUACUAGUGAGUUGUGGACGUCAAAUGAGACAGGUGUUCUGGAAUUGAGUUCAUGGUGCAGAC